UCGGAAGUGACGUCAGUGGUGA
rnacentral:miRNA from 1 species